rnacentral:rRNA from 1 species
UGGGGAAUUUUGCACAAUGGGGGAAACCCUGAUGCAGCAACGCCGCGUGGAGGAUGAAGUCCCUUGGGACGUAAACUCCUUUCGACCGGGACGAUAAUGACGGUACCGGUGGAAGAAGCCCCGGCUAACUCCGUGCCAGCAGCCGCGGUAAUACGGGGGGCAGCGUGUCGGAUUAUGGCGUAAGGGCGCGUAGGCGGUGCGGUAAGUCUUCUGUGAAACCCCUGGGCUCAAACCCCGAGGGCCAUCGGCCAGGGGAAACGAUGCCCGUGCUGGAGUGUGGGAGAGGUGCGUGGAAUUCCCGGUGUAGCGGUGAAAUGCGUAGAGAUCGGGAGGAACACCUGCGGCGAAGGCGGCGCACUGGACCACUACUUGACGCUGAGAGCGCGAAAGCUAGGGGAGCAAACA